rnacentral:rRNA from 1 species
AGGUGCGAUUAUACCAGUGUUUGUGCACUGGAUCCCAUCAGAACUCCACAGUUAAGUGUACUUGGGCCAGAGUAGUACUAGGAUGGGUGACCUCGAGGGAAGUCCCACUGUCGGGCCUU